rnacentral:rRNA from 1 species
GUGCCAGCAGCCGCGGUAAUACGUAGGUGGCAAGCGUUGUCCGGAUUUAUUGGGCGUAAAGCGAGCGCAGGCGGUUUCUUAAGUCUGAUGUGAAAGCCCCCGGCUCAACCGGGGAGGGUCAUUGGAAACUGGGAGACUUGAGUGCAGAAGAGGAGAGUGGAAUUCCAUGUGUAGCGGUGAAAUGCGUAGAUAUAUGGAGGAACACCAGUGGCGAAGGCGGCUCUCUGGUCUGUAACUGACGCUGAGGCUCGAAAGCGUGGGGAGCAAACAGGAUUAGAUACC